UUUUUCGUUGUAGCAAUACGAUGGAAAGUCUAGUGGCGAACGGGUGCUUAACACGUGGGCAACCUGCCAGGAAGUGGGGGAUAGCUCGCCGAAAGGCGAAUUAAUACCGCAUGUGAUUAGAGAGGACAUCCUUUCGAAAUUAAAGUCGGGGCAACCUGACGCUUCUUGUGGGGCCCGCGGCCUAUCAGCUAGUUGGUGAGGUAACGGCUCACCAAGGCUUUGACGGGUAGCUGGUCUGAGAGGACGACCAGCCACACUGGGACUGAGACACGGCCCAGACACCUACGGGUGGCAGCAGUCGAGAAUUUUUGACAAUGGGGGAAACCCUGAUCGAGCGACGCCGCGUGGAGGAUGAAGGUCUUCGGAUUGUAAACUCCUGUCAUUGGGGAACAAGGUGCAUACGUUAACUGCGUGUGCAUUGAUAGUACCCGAAGAGGAAGAGACGGCUAACUCUGUGCCAGCAGCCGCGGUAAUACAGAGGUCUCAAGCGUUGUUCGGAUUCAUUGGGCGUAAAGGGUGCGUAGGCGGCGCGGUAAGUCGGGUGUGAAAUCUCGGAGCUUAACUUCGAAACUGCAUUCGAUACUGCCGUGCUUGAGGACUGGAGAGGAGACUGGAAUUUACGGUGUAGCGGUGAAAUGCGUAGAUAUCGUAAGGAAGACCAGUGGCGAAGGCGGGUCUCUGGACAGUUCCUGACGCUGAGGCACGAAGGUCAGGGGAGCAAACGGGAUUAGAUACCCCGGUAGUCCUGACAGUAAACGGUGCACGUUUGGUGUGGGAGGAUUCGACCCCCUUCUGCGCCGGAGCUAACGCGUUAAACGUG
rnacentral:rRNA from 1 species